rnacentral:rRNA from 1 species
GUGCCAGCAGCCGCGGUAAUACGUAGGUGGCGAGCGUUAUCCGGAUUUAUUGGGUUUAAAGGGUGCGUAGGCGGCUUAAUAAGUCGGUGGNUAAAAGUAGCAGCUUAACUGUUUUACAUGCCAUCGAUACUGUUGAGCUUGAGAUAUUUGGAGGCAGCUAGAAUUUCCGGUGUAGCGGUGAAAUGCAUAGAUACCGNAAGGAAUACCGAUUGCGAAGGUCGGUUGCUACGAAUAAACUGACGCUGAUGCACGAAAGCGUGGGGAUCAAACAGGAUUAGAUACCCUGGUAGUCCACGCCGUAAACGAUGAUUACUAGUUGUUGGGGUUUAAGCUUCAGUGACCAAGGGAAACCGAUAAGUAAUCCACCUGGGGAGUACGCCGGCAACGGUGAAACUUAAAUGAAUUGACGG